rnacentral:rRNA from 1 species
UACAGAGGUCUCAAGUGUUGUUCGGAUUCAUUGGGCGUAAAGGGUGCGUAGGUGGCGCCGUAAGUCAGGUGUGAAAUUUCGGAGCUUAACUCCGAAACUGCAUUUGAUACUGCGGUGCUUGAGGACUGGAGAGGAGACUGGAAUUUACGGUGUAGCAGUGAAAUGCGUAGAGAUCGUAAGGAAGACCAGUGGCGAAGGCGGGUCUCUGGACAGUUCCUGACACUGAGGCACGAAGGCCAGGGGAGCAAACGGG